CUAAACUCCAGCCCUGCCCACAGCCCCCGGCUGCCCACGCACUGUCCGGGAAACCAGCAGCAAAUAGGCGGAAGAACCAUCCACUGCCUGCUCCCCAGGGCUGCAGCAAGCAAGGUGGAGCCAGAGACCACCACCAGGCAAGUGAGACCCAGCCCCACUUCCACGUGGGCAAAGCUGCCGCCACCCCGGCCAGUCCAGGACGGCCGCAGAGGCCCCACCUCGUCCUGCAAAGGAGGGAGCCUGCCGCGCUCCCGGCUCUGCCAGACGCUCCUGCCCGAGGGCCUGCGUCCUGCAGUUCCCCAGUGCGGGCUCCCGGUCCCUCCCACCAGGUGCCCGGUCGGUCGGUC
rnacentral:lncRNA from 10 species